rnacentral:piRNA from 1 species
UAAGGAAAUUAUUAGAAUGAA